AAGAAAGCGGGACAAUAAUUUUCGUACCUUUUGCAUCAUGAUUUAGCUAGUAAACCCAAGCAAAGGGCGCUUUAGUUUGUUUCCCGGAAAUUAAGUGAGUUAUUCCAAGGCAGCCUAUUAAUAGGGCCAACCCGUCUCUGUGGCAAAAGAGUGGGACGAGCUUUGAGUAGAGGUGACAGACCUACCGAACUAAGUAAUAGCUGUUUGCUUAAGAAUUGAAUAGAAGUUCAGCUUCUAGGCUUCUUCACUCAUUAAAGUAUUACACUCAUAUGACAAACAAGAAACCCAAGAAAGUUACUCAAAGGGGGUACAGCCCCUUUGAAUAAAGACACAACUUUUAUAGAUGGGUAACGACCAUAGUUUUAGUAAGGCAAAGUAUUUUAGUGGGCCCAAAAGCAGCCACCUGAAUAGAAAGCGUUAAAGCUCAAAUACCCUUCACCCUAUUAUUCCGGCAUACAAUCUUAACCCUCUUAAUAUUAUUAAGCCAUCCCAUGCAAACAUGGGAGUGACCAUGCUAAUAUGAGUAAUAAGAGAAAACAAAUUUUCUCUCCCCACACACGUGUAAAUCGAAACGGACCCACCACCGAUCAUUAAACGGCCCCAAACAAAGAGGGUACUAGACCCACAAAUAAAAAACAAGAAAAACCCCAAACAUAAAACCGUUAAACCCACACUGGAGUGUAUAUUAGGAAAGACUAAAAGAAAAAGAAGGAACUCGGCAAACACUACUUGAGCCUCGCCUGUUUACCAAAAACAUCGCCUCUUGCAAACAUCAAUGAAUAAGAGGUCCCGCCUGCCCUGUGACAUAAAAUGUUUAACGGCCGCGGUAUUUUGACCGUGCAAAGGUAGCGCAAUCACUUGUCUUUUAAAUGGAGACCUGUAUGAAUGGCAUAACGAGGGCUAAGCUGUCUCCUUUUUCCAGUCAAUGAAAUUGAUCUCCCCGUGCAGAAGCGGGGAUAAAGACAUAAGACGAGAAGACCCUAUGGAGCUUCAGACACUAAAGCAGCUUUAUGUUAAAUAACCCUCAACAGGAUUAAACCAAAAAAUGCCUGCCGUAUUGUCUUUGGUUGGGGCGACCGCGGGGAAAUACAAAACCCCCAUGUGGAACGGGAGAAUUACUCCUACAACCAAGAGCCACAGCUCUAAUAAACCAGAAUCUCUGACCUCUAAGAUCCGGCACAUUCGCCGAUCGACGGACCGAGUUACCCUAGGGAUAACAGCGCAAUCCUCUUUUAGAGUCCCUAUCGACAAGAGGGUUUACGACCUCGAUGUUGGAUCAGGACAUCCUAAUGGUGCAGCCGCUAUUAAGGGUUCGUUUGUUCAACGAUUAAAGUCC
rnacentral:rRNA from 1 species